AACGAAUCAAAUCCCUAAAUUGCUAAUAAUUUUAGAAUCACAACUAAUCAAUUUCUAUAGCCGAAACAACGUAAAUAUGCCCAUCAAUGAUGAAUUCCACUAAACUUCAAUUCACUUCGACCAUAAACCCGAACCCAUGGCCUCUGCAAAUCUAUCAGCUUGCAGCAUUCUAUGGCUUCUCUUCGUAUCACAUUCAUUCUCGCCAUCCGUUAGCUUCACCGAUGAACUCUCCUUAGGUAAGCUUCUUUGACAUCUUUUUUUAGAAUUGGGUUUAAGGAUAAAAAGAAGACAUUUUUUACUUGGGGAGCUCUCAGUUAUUGGAUAAAUACUUUGGCUAGUAAUUUGAUUGACGAAAUUUGAAUUGUGUCAUGGGUGUGGUUUAGGUUUAAAUUUGUAGGGUUUUGGUUUCCUAUAGUAAAAUUAUUGCUAAUUACUUAUUUGUAGGUACUACUUUUAGAAAAUUUAACUUUUAAUUACUUUUAAGCAUGGGCAAACAUUCUAAAGUUAGGCAAAGAGAUCCAAUGGACAGGGGAAAAAAAGUUAUAUCCAUAUGGUAUGUUUGAUAAGGUGGAUGGAUAUUGGAUAGUAAUAGGCAGUAUGGAAAGGAAGUUAGAAUCUUGUUUAGUGUACUGUUAAAAAUUCCGUUCAGAUUUGCAUGCCAAACAUGUCCAUCCUUUAUAUGAAUGUAUAGAACUUACGAACAGUAUUAUUCUGUUAAUUGCGGUUUAUUUGCUGUUGUAUGGAAGUGAGGUUGGUUUUGGGCAUUUGAAAAUCACGCCAUGGUCCUAUGCCUGUUUGCUUUUCUCUUGAAAUAUUUUCUCUCUUGUGGAAUAUGAUCCAUGGCCUGCACUAAAUGACUCUCGGAGCUAUGCAAUUCAUAUUGAUACAUACAAAAAAUUAUCCUCUUAUUACAAUGGGAUCUGUCGAAUGAUUAUCAUCUUAUUGAGCUGGAGACAUGGUAUUAGGGAUAUAUAUUACAUACAUAAAGCCAGAUAUUUUGAGUUGGGGGAUCCCCAAAUUAACAUGCAAAAGAACUUUGAAACAAAAUAACAGUGAUGGAAUUUUCGAUACCUUAUUUCAAGCAUUCGCUACGAAUACUUUGAUAUCAUUUGUACUGUUACAUCAUUUGUAAUACUAGAAGGAGGAGACUUAUUUAAUCAUUACCAAUAUUUCUCCAUCAUUGUUUACCAUUUAGGGCUUGUUUCAGCCACAUUUCUUUUGUGAAUGUAUUUUGGAAUGGUAGAUUGAUGGAGAAAAUGUGGUUAAAGAAAAAAAAAGUUUUGGGUUUACGUAUAAUAUUAUUUUAUUGAAGAAUGUGUGGUUAAAAAGAAAAGAGAGAAAAAUGUAUUUUGAAAAUAAUAUGAAUUAAACAAUCACUUAAUUUAACAAUCGACAUACAAAAAAUAAUAAACAAGGCUGACAAGACCACAAUCAUAUAAGCAGAAAAGGCCUCAAUCAUUUCUAGCAAUUCAAUAAAUAAGCAAGGGCAAGCCAUUGGUCACCUGAGAAAUGAGCCAAAAUUCUGAAAUGACACAACAUUACAACUCAAGAACUCUCGAUAGACAUUCACAACUUUGCGAUCCUGCAUUCAUUAACUAAGCAGCUAAAACUUUCACAUACAUACAAAAAAGAAUUUCUAGUCUGUACCAGUGGCAGUAAAAGUCUGGGAAAAUAAUAGUACAAAACUUCCAUUAUACUAUACAUACAUUAUAAGGAAAAUGCAAAAUGAAAAGCAGAAUCAAUAAAAGAAAAUAAAUGUGUUGUAUCCAUAUGUAAAAACUCUAAACUGCAGCGAAAGGUGGUUAAUAAUUAUACCUAAGCAGCAAAAUUCAGUAAUGGCAGAAAAAUUUUCUGAGCUGUGGUGGUCAGGUAAAGUCACAGUUGGGUUUUAUUGCAAUUGAGGAUUUUGAUUGUGAAAUUUAGGGUUUGGGUUGAAAAAUUUUGGGGAAAUUUCGGCAUGGGAGGGGGUAGAGACGAUGAGCUAGAGAGAAAUAUGAUGAAAACAGGAAGGUUAUAUACUUGGAUUGAGAGUGCUGUUUGAGCCAAGUGAUUUGGACACGAUGUGGGAGAGAAUUGGUUUUAUUACUAAAAUUAAAUAACAGUAGAAUAAAAAAUAAAAAAAAAACAAAUUGCAGAAAGUUUGGGGGAAUCCCCUUCAUUCAGCCCGUCCAUAUAUUGUGUCAAAAAAGCUUGUAUAUUUAUUUAUAUAUAACGUUAUAUUUAUGGAGUUUCUAUAUAUGCAUGCACAUCAGUGUAUGUGCGUGUCCGCCAAUGCUUGUAUAUUAGUCUGUCUCUAAGCUUAUGUUUUUAGUUCUGCAGUUAUUUUCGGUCUGCCUCAUAGCAGCUAUCACCAAGCUUGACGGUGGAGAAAUCCCCAGAGUCCAAUGCAGGAACUAAUGUGAAAUGAAAGAGAGCUCAUAUUUAAGGCUUUCGCAGGCUUAAACAUUUGAGCAUGUUUGCCAUUUCUGUGAAGGU
rnacentral:lncRNA from 1 species